rnacentral:rRNA from 1 species
GACGAACCGUGCGAACGUUAUUCGGAAUCACUGGGCUUAAAGCGCGUGUAGGCGGGACGGCACGUCUGUCGCUGAAAUCCCCCGGCUUAACCGGGGAACUGGCGUAGAUACGACCGUCCUGGAGGGGCGUAGGGGGACCUGGAACUUCCGGUGGAGCGGUGAAAUGCGUUGAGAUCGGAAGGAACGCCGGUGGCGAAAGCGACGUGCUGGACCCUUUCUGACGCUGAGGCGCGAAAGCCAGGGGAGCAAACGGG